UACGUAGGCAGCGAGCGUUGUUCGGAGUUACUGGGCGUAAAGAGUGCGUAGGCGGUCUUCUAAGUUUGGUGUGAAAUCUCCCGGCUUAACUGGGAGGGUGCGCCGAAAACUGGAAGGCUUGAGUAUGGGAGAGGUAAGCGGAAUUCCUGGUGUAGCGGUGAAAUGCGUAGAUAUCAGGAGGAACACCUGCGGUGUAGACGGCUUACUGGACCAUAACUGACGCUGAGGCACGAAAGCGUGGGGAGCGAACAGG
rnacentral:rRNA from 1 species